rnacentral:rRNA from 1 species
UUUCCGGUUGAUCCUGCCGGACCUGACUGCUAUCGGAUUGAUACUAAGCCAUGCGAGUCUUUGUAGUAAUACAAGGCAUACGGCUCAGUAACGCGUAGUCAACCUACCCUAUGGACAAGAAUAAUCUCGGGAAACUGAGCAUAAUUCUUGAUAGAUCAUAAUGCCUGGAAUGGUUUAUGGUUAAAAUGAUUCGUCGCCAUAGGAUGGGACUGCGGCCUAUCAGCUUGUUGGUGAGGUAAUGGCCCACCAAGGCGAUUACAGGUACGGGCUCUGAGAGGAGAAGCCCGGAGAUGGGUACUGAGACAAGGACCCAGGCCCUAUGGGGCGCAGCAGGCGAGAAAACUUUGCAAUGUGCGAAAGCACGACAAGGUUAGUCCGAGUGAUUUCUGCUAAAGAGAUCUUUUGCUAGUUAUAAAACCACUAGUGAAUAAGGGGUGGGCAAGUUCUGGUGUCAGCCGCCGCGGUAAAACCAGCACCUCAAGUGGUCAGGAUGAUUAUUGGGCCUAAAGCAUCCGUAGCCGGCUCUGUAAGUUUUCGGUUAAAUCUAUGCGCUCAACGUAUGGGCUGCCGAAAAUACUGUAGAGAUAGGGAGUGGGAGAGGUAGACGGUACUCGGUAGGAAGGGGUAAAAUCCUUUGAUCUAUCGAUGACCACCUGUGGCGAAGGCGGUCUACCAGAACACGUUCGACGGUGAGGGAUGAAAGCUGGGGGAGCAAACCGGAUUAGAUACCCGGGUAGUCCCAGCUGUAAACGAUGCAGACUCGAUGAUGCAUUGGCAUAUAGCCAGUGCAGUGUCGCAGGGAAGCCGUUAAGUCUGCCGCCUGGGAAGUACGUACGCAAGUAUGAAACUUAAAGGAAUUGGCGGGGGAGCACCACAAGGGGUGAAGCCUGCGGUUCAAUUGGAGUCAACGCCGGAA